rnacentral:rRNA from 1 species
GUCCACGCUGUAAACUAUGAGAACUAGAUGUUGUGUGGGAUUUAAUCUCAUCAGUAUCGAAGCUAACGCGUUAAGUUCUCCGCCUGGGGAGUACGGUCGCAAGAUUAAAACUCAAAGGAAUUGACGGGGGCCCGCACAAGCGGUGGAGCAUGUGGUUUAAUUCGAUGCAACGCGAAGAACCUUACCUGGGCUUGACAUCCACGGAAGUCUGUAGAGAUACGGACGUGCCUUCGGGAAUCGUGAGACAGGUGCUGCAUGGCUGUCGU